rnacentral:rRNA from 1 species
AAACAUCGCCUCUUGUAACUAUAAGAGGUCCAGCCUGCCCAGUGACUUAUGUUAAACGGCCGCGGUAUACUAACCGUGCAAAGGUAGCGCAAUCACUUGUCCCCUAAAUAGGGACUUGUAUGAAUGGCAUCACGAGGAUUUAACUGUCUCCUUUUUCCAAUCAGUGAAACUAAUCUUCCUGUGAAAAAGCAGGAAUACUCAUAUAAGACGAGAAGACCCUAUGAAGCUUUAAACAUAUAACAAAUGCCCCCAACACUUUUCCUGAAACUCAACCAACAGCACAUUGAUUAUAAGUUUUUGGUUGGGGUGACCACGGAGAAAAAUUAAACCUCCGCACUGCCUAAUCUAAAUUUAAAACUAAAAGUUACAACUUUAAUACUCAACAAAUUGACACAAUUGAUCCAAAUAUUUGAUCAAUGAACUAAGUUACUCUAGGGAUAACAGCGCAAUCCACUUCAAGAGCACAUAUCGACAAGUGGGCUUACGACCUCGAUGUUGGAUCAGGGUAUCCUAGUGGUGCAGCCGCUACUAAAGGUUCGUUUGUUCAACGAUUAAAACCCUACGUGAUCUGA